UAAGUCAGUGCUCUUUUUCCUCCACAUGAGGCUAGUGUGUCCCAAAAUGGGGGCUGCUCCUUUGGCCUGUCUCCAAGACUGAAGAGAACAGGGAGCAUAGCUGUACCUAUCCUGCGAUGGACAAAGGAACAAGCUUUUGUUAAUUCAAGCGAUUGAGAUUUGGGGGUUUGUUACCACAGCGUAAUUUGGCAUAAGCUGACUGGCAUACGGUGGAGCAUCCCAGAUGAGGGCAAGCCCCCAGGGCCUAACAGAGUGAGUGGCUGGAGUAUGUGAAGGUGAAAUUCUUUGACGUGAAGUGGUUAAGGUCCCACGAGGCCGUGGUGUUAGAUGGGUCAUUCAUGUGAUGUUGUUAUCAUCCAGGAAGCUGGUAGGAGGUAGGAACCCAAAGUCUGUAAUGAACAAGGGAAAGUGUGAGCAAAGUCAGCAGAUGACAGCAGUAAAGGAGGAGUAAAGGGGAGUAUAGAUCUAAAUAUAUAUAUGUGUGUGUGUGUGUGUGUGUGUGUGUGUGUGUGUGUGUGUAUGCAGAGAUUUGGUAUAUAUAUGUGUAUAUAUAUAUGUCUGUGUAUAUAUAUGUGUGUGUGUAUAUAUAUAUAUGUGUAUAUAUAUGUAUGCAGAGAUUUGGAAGUGUGGAAGAAUAGGGGUCUGAGUGCAGUACUGGGGAGGCCCCAUACCCUAUCCUGAAAGCACAUGAGGUAUGGGAAAGUGACCACCAAGAUGCUUUGGAGGGAAAGCCAGGUAUCUUUUAAGGCAAAGAAGAGGAGGAAAGAAGAGUUUGCAGAUGUAGGCAGGAAGUUGUUUAUGAAACAGAGUGAUAGGCCGGGUGCGGUGGCUCACACCUGUAAUCCCAGCACUUUGGGAGGCCGGAGGUGGGCAGAUCACCUGAGGUCAGGAGUUUGAGACCAGCCUGGCCAACAUGGUGAAACCCAUCUCUACUAAAAAUACAAAAAUUAGCUGGGCGUGGUGGUGGGCACCUGUAAUCCCAGCUACUCAGGAGGCUGAGACUGGAGAAUCGCUUGAACCCAGGAGGCGGAGGUUGCAGUGAGUGGAAAUCAAGACAUUGCACUCCAGCCUGGGUGACAAGAGCAAAACUGUCUCAAAAAGAAAAAGAAAGAAAGAAACAGAAUGAUAGUGUAGUUGGAGUCAAGAAUUGACUGCUUUGAGAACUUGUCUCCAGAAAAAGGGCAUGUACUUGUGCAAAAUGUUAUAUGCAAAUUCAAAAAACAUUUAGACUUCCUAGAACCAUCUGUGGACCCUAGAUUAAGAACCCUGAUCUGGAACAGUGGCUCUCAAACUUGAGCAAACAGUUUGACAGGUCUGAUGGUGUUUGACAGGUUGUUGGGCCUCACCCAGAGGUUUCAGUAACGUAGGUCUGCAUGCGGUCCAAGCAUUUGCAUUUCUAUCAAGUUCCCAGGUGAUGCUGAUGUUUCCGGCCUAGAAACCACAUUCUGAGAACCACUGCUGAAGUCUAAGGCUAAGGGGGGAAGGUUUGGGGAGAGGAAGAGGAACAGUGGGAAAUGGUUAAGGACAAGAUUAUGAAAGCAUCAUGGGGAUGAGAAUGGAUUUUUGUUUUGUUUUACUAGGCUUAGGCAGAUACUACAAUAUUUCUGACACAUACAUACACGGAAAACUUUGCAAGAGUGGAGAAAAGAAGGGAGAGGUGAGUGAGCAUUUAUUUUAAGUUUAGGGCAAGGGGUGCAAAAAAAUAUCUUUUAUAGCCUUAAGGAUCACUUUCUUGAACACCCUUACUUUACAACAACAGAAGUGAUAUCAAGUAUCACAUGGCCAAUUCACACCUUUGGUCUAGUAACCAGCUCUUGCCCCCUCUCAGUCUAGGGCUUGUUCGCUUUCAUCGUUAACCUCUAAGAGAAUCACUAGUGGGAAAUAAGGUAUGCUUUUGAUUCAAGGUAAAGAGACUCGAACUUUCCAGUGCCCUAAACUGGGAAAUCUUAAACUCCAGCAAAGUACAAUGCUCAAAACUGGGUAAAGCCGCUACCUUCGUAGGGCAUACAUUUUGGAGAAAAUUGCAUCUACUUUCUUCUUUGUCUUUUCUUUUUGUGUGAGUGUGAGUGUGCAUGACAGUUGGUCUAUGUUUGAAAAACUGACCAUCAGCAUUCCUGGAAUUCUUGGCAAUGAAUCAGGAUUGCCAGUUAGCUGCCUGCUGGGUGACCUUAUGUAGUUCACCUCGUGUUUCUAAGCCUCAGCUUCCUAAUCUGUGAAACAGGCUGAUGGACCAGUGAGAUAACGCCUGUGAGGUGCUUAUCACCUGAUACUGCCUCUUCUUGCUGGCACAUCGAGCUGGAGGAUUGCAGCGUCUGAACACGAAUGACCAAUCAAAUCUUGGGCCUAUACCCCACAGACGUAACCUUUAUCUCCCACCAGAGGGCACCAGUAACCUAUAAAAAUCUAAGGGGACAGGCGGUCCCUCUUGCCCUUAACAUCGUUGAAUCUGCUUGAGGAUAACUCCCUUAAGUCUAUUGAAAUAUUCUUACCCCUGGUGUUUGAAGAAAUCAUUUGAAAAAUACCUCUCACACCCAGAAGGAAAAUAUGGAGUAGAAGUGUAGGGUAAAUGGUGCUCCAACUCCCCACCAGCCACCAAGAGAGUUCUAUUUCCAUUUUGUAUUUUGUCCAUUUUUACCAUUUAGUCUCCAUCUCCUCGAGACUAUCUGUAACCUAGUUACAAAUUAUUCUCUCAGUAAUAACCUAUUGCAGUUCCCUUCUUCCUGGUUUAUUCAAAUGAACUGAACUGCUGUUUUUUUUCCCUUUGAUGUACAACCUCCCGCCUCCUACCCUAUCGGGCAAGCCUUCCUUCCAGCAGGCAGUAGGGGGAGGGAUCUAUUUCUGAGCCUCGGUAGAGCCUCAGAAGCUGUUUCCCUGAAUCCCUCUAUGAUGAGAGCCUAGUGGUCAACAGGUACCUAUCACAAAAGGCUGUAUUCCAGGAGAAAACUCUCCCCAUCUAAGGAAGGGAAACGACUGGAAGUUGAGGCUACCCACCACCACCUCCCUGAAAACAUUACAGACUUCAGGGACGCAAUGAUAACCAAUGUGUAUCUGUGUCCUGUAUACACAUAGGGUUUGUUCUUUGUCUUUGUUCUUUAAUUUGCUGGGGAAGGAAAUACAGCCUCGGGCUAGCUUUCACCAUUGCACCUGGGAGUGCAGGCCCAGACAAGAAAAGCCAACAAGAAUAUUGACUAGAAAAAGGGUAUUGGCCAGGCACGGUGGCUCACGCCUAUAAUUCCAGCACUUUGGGAGGCUGAGGCAGGUGGAUCACCUGAGGUCAGGAGUCUGAGAUCAGACUGGCCAACAUGGAUUUGUACUAAAAAUACAAAAAACUAGCCAAGUGUGGUGGUAUGUGCCUAUAGUCCCAGCUACUUGAGAGGCUGAGGAAGGAGAGUCGCUUGAAACCAGGAGACAGAGGUUGCAGUGAGCCAAGAUCACGGCACUGAACUCCAGCCUGGGUGACAGAGUGAGACCGUGUCUCAAAAAAAAAGGGUAUGCUGUUUGUCUUAUUAGGAACACAGAACCAUGGAAUAUUGGGGAUGACCAGGACUCCGGAAAUCUAGUACGACCCUUCAUUGUUUAGAGGGGAGAAACAUGACCAGGGUCAUGUGGUUUGUGAAUGGCAGACUAGCUCUUCCAGCUCGAACUAGAAUUCAGGUCUAUGGGCAGACACACCAGUUCCUGUCUCACCAUUCCAUUUCUGAAUCAGCCAUCGUUGCUAGCAUUUGUUGUUUGCUUAGUAUGUGUCAAGUAUCUGUUCUUUAAAUCUCACACAAUCCUCACAACAACUCUAUGAAAGAAAUGAAUUGGUAUAAGAAUGAAAUACAUUAUUCUCAUUUUACGCAGGCAUAGAGAAAAAUGAUGUAGGACAAAAUUAGCUAGCAUUCUGUUUAAAUCAAUAUUUUCCCAUGAGGGUUAGCGGCAUUUUGAAUGGAAUAAGGUUUUGGUUUGUUUUUUAAUGGGACUACUCCUAGCAUAGCAUGAUAUUUAGCAUUUUUGGACCCCAAGCACUAAUUGCCCCAGUCAUCAUAAUACAAAAAAUUUCCAAAAGUCCCUAAACGUAGACUAUAGAUGGUCCUGUUGCUGGUUGAGCACUACUGAUUUUUUUUUCUUUUUUUUUUUUUAAACAGGGUCUCACUCUGUCACCAGGCUGGAGUGCAGUGGCACAAUCUAGGCUCACUGCAGCCUCGACCUCCCAGGUUCAAGCAAUCCUCCCACCUCAGCCUCCCGAUUAGCUGGGACUAUAGCUAUGCGCCACCGUGUCCCUAUGUUGCUCAGCCUCGGUGUCUGGAUGCCCAGCCUAACCAAGUCAGCUUCCCAUCUUUGGCUGAGACAAGGAGAACCCUGCUGGGCUAGGGGACCCAGUUAGCCUAAAAACAACAGCAGAAGCAGCAGCAACAACGAUGCUGAGUGCUGACUGCGAGCCUGGCUUCCUCGGAGGGAGUUUACCGUGCGCUGCCUCCUUGGACCGUCAUCACUGCCUUGCGAAGCAGGCACUUUCCUCACCCCCUCUGUCUGGAGGAGGGCACUGAGGCACCGAGAAAACUGGGCAGGGGAGGCCCGAGAAGGAGAGGGUGGCACCGUCAUUCCCACUUUCCAGCUGAGGACACGGGUAAGUGGCAUGCGUCUGCUCCUGUGACUUACAGGAGUCCCGGGACUUGCACUCAGGCCUCUGGACUCCUAGCCUGGUGUUUUCCCCUGGAAGUUUCUGAACCAAAAAAAAAGUGUCUGAACCAAAGCACACAACGAGAUUGUGAGUGGAAAUCAGUUUCAGCUUCCCUGGUGUUUCUCCACGGUGAUCCCCUGUGUCUGUCACUGAAGGGGCCAGGAUGUCACCACCAACGGUAAUGACCUGGGCUUUGAGUGGAGCAUUUAACCUGUUCAGCCAGCUGUUGGAAGUGCAGAAACUAGUCCCUCCCAGUCACAGACUACCCCGGUUGCUCCACCAUCUGCAUCCAGCUUCAUUACUUAAUUCACUUUGCAAAGUUAAUCCAGUGAUCCAAGCUCCUAAUAGUCCCCAGUUUGACUUCCGCAGCUUCCCUUUCCCUCCACACCCAGCCUAUCCCGGGCUUCUGGGUCACCAAGAAGCAGGACCCUUUCUGUUGAUUUCUUCUGGGAGGAGGCCAUCUCAAUAGCCCUUUACAACAACCCAUGAGGUCUCCUGAUUUCCGUGUGUUCUUGGAGUCCCCUGAGCUUUGGUUUGCAGCACAAGCUCAUUCCCCUCUGUGCUCCCCUUUCACUGUGUGGAACCUUCUCUAAUAGACUCACCUCUGGGGAGAGGACGUGCUCCUUUCUGGCCGCAGCUGCAGCCAUUCCAAUGUACAUCAAAGCCCUCGUCUUUCUAUCUCCACUUCUUAAAUGGUUUUGCUUUUUCUCUAUUUCUUUCUUCUCGUGGGCAGCUCAGAGCUCAUCUGUGACAGUGACCACCCUUCUGCCCUAGCCCUGGCCCCACGACCUUCCCUAACACUGCAAACAACUUCACUCUUGGCCUCCUGCUGGAUAUCUGGUCAGUGGCCUACAUUCCUCCCACUCAUGCCUCUUUCUUUUCUUUCUUUCUUUUCUCUCUCUCUUUUUUUUUUUUUUUUUUUGAGACAGGAUCUUGCCCAGGCUGAAGCCCAAGUGGCAUGAUCAAGGCUCACUGAAGCCUCAACCUCCCAGGUUGAAGCCAUCCACCCACCUCAGCCUCCAGAGUAGCUGGGACCACAGGUGUGCACCACGAUGCCUGGCUAAUUUUGUCUUUUUAAAAUUUUUUUGUUGACAGGGUCUCACUAUGUUGCCCAGGCUGGUCUUGAACUCCUGGACUCAGGCAAUCCUCUCACCUUGGCCUCCCAAAGUGCUGGGAUUACAGUUGUGAGCCACCAUACCUGGCCUGCAUACCCUUUUCUAUCUGGCUUUCUAGACUUUAAAAUCUUUCUUGGUGGCUCCAGUUUGCCAUAUCUUAUGGUCCUGAAAUGACCCCUGUCACUGAGGCAGGGAGCAGAGGAGACUGGGAAUUUGUGCUGUUGGUAAAUAGAUACGGUUUGAAUCCUGGCCACUGCCCACCAGCCGUGUGACCAAGACUUAACCAUAUUUUUUCGGGGUGUUAUGCAGAGAUAAUGAGAUCAAAAUUGUAAGUCAUCUAGUACUGACAUAAUAAGCUCUCAACAAAUGGUAGCUAUUUAAGUGUUAAUAACAAAUCCUUUUCAGAUGGUUUCUAUAACAGUGAAUUUGCAAAUAGUUGGAACCUCUGAAGUGCUUCCUCUCCUGGACUGGAAACCCCUUGAGGUCAGGGGCCUUGUCUGCCUAUUCACAAUGUCCGUCUAGCACAUGGUAGGCUCUUAAUAUAUAUAUAUAUAUAUAUUUAUUUUUUGAUGAAUGAAUAAUCUAGACUAUCCUCAAUUCUGAUAUCACGAUUCCUUUCUAGUAUUAAAUUUCAAAUUAUAAUACAUGUUAAUUGCAGAAAAAUUGGAAAAUAUUUUUUAAAAAUAGGAAAACAAAAAAAUAGCUGUGAUCCUAGUCCCUAGAGAUAGCCACAGUUAAUAUUUUGAUAUAUUUCCCUGCAGCCUUUUUUUCUGUGCUUAUGCAUAUUUCAAAAAUUUUAUAUUCUGGCUUUUCAGUUAACAUAAUGAGCAUUUCCCUGUGUUACUAAAUAAUCUUCAUAAACAUAAUUUUAAGUGCUACAUAUAUUAUUCUGUGCUAUGAAUGUAUCAUAAUUUAUGUAACCAAUACCCAGUGGUUGAUAUUUAAGUUGUUUCCAUUUUUCACCAUUAUAAAUAAAGCUACACUGAACAUCCUUUUGCAUAAAUCUUUGUGUAUAUCUGAAUUAAGAUUUUCUACCAAGAAUAAAUUCUACAAAGUAAAUUACUGAUUUAACAGUGAACAUGUUAAGGCCCCAGGUAAAUGUCUUGUUAAAUGAUUCUUCAUAGAGGUUGCACUCAUUGUCUGUCCUCCUGCUAUCAAGGUAUGAGAAUUCUCACCACCAGAAUAUUGUUUAAAAUAAAAGAGACUUUGCCAAAUGGAGAAGUGAGACACAAAGCCUAUUUUUUCAUGAUGAUCGCUCCUGUCUUUGACAAGCAUGGUGCUUGUCAACUUGACAUUUUGGACUAGAUGGUUCCUGGUGUGAGGGGCUGCCCUGUGCAUUGUAGGAUGUUUAUCAGCAUCCCUGACCACCUACUAGAUGUCAGUAGCACCCCCUUUCCCCCAGUUAUGAUAACCAAAAAUAUCUCCAGACAUCACCAAAUGUCCCCUGGGGAACAAAACCGCCCCUGGUUGAGAAUGAUGGAGUUAUACUGUAUUAACUCUAUUGGUUACAAGUAACAGAAACCAACUCUGAGCAAAAAUGGGGACUUUGUGAGAAAAGUCUUAAGGUAUCAUGGAACCCAAAGGCAUGGAUGCAAGUGGGCCUCCCUCCUCUUUUCAGGGCUGCCUCAUUCUUUUCUCUUGCUGUAGACUGGCUUUCUCUCUAUUCUUGACUCCAAGGAGGAGAAUGGCCACCGCUAACAUUUCUGAAGUUUAUAUCCCUGUGUUUAUGAGAAAGCCAGGCUACCCUGGGGUCUCUUGGUUCCAAAUGCUCAGGGAAGGACUCUGAGAUGCGCAGCUUAGGU